CUCGGUGCUCCAUAAUGCGUCUGAGAAGGAAUCGAGAGGCCCGAUCACACCCAAUCCUUCGUCCAAAUUACUUCUGCCGUGAAAGCCCUCUGGUGACCCGAUUGAUACGGAUUUCAGGGUAAAUUGCCUUCUAUUUUGGAUGGUUCUACAAUGGAGAAAGCUGAAAAGCAAGAUGACGCACUGGCCACUCUAGCACCUAAGGUAAGGUCAGAGGAGUCAUGGAUGAACUUUGAUCAGGAAGCACUGGUCUUGCAUAACAAGCUGGCCAGGUACCCGAGCCAAAAUUCAAGUGGUUGAUAACAAUCAAAAGAUCAACACUGUAGACCUCAAGAUCAUUACCACAAUAGUUGGUAAUGACAGUAACUGCAAGCAUGAUGAGAUGUGCAUAUUUUUUUAUGGAGAAGCCUUGGUAGUACCAUGUGCGAAUAAUUCCUUGUUGCAGGUUUUGGAGCUACAACUUCCUGGAAAGAGGCUGUGGGCCAGGUUUUGGAGCUACAACUUCCUGGAAAGAGGGCUGUAACCGCAAAAGAGUUUUGGAAUGGUUUACAGGGUCAGCAACUGUUCAAGUCUCCGUAGCGGAAUUGCCGUUAUCUUUCUUGUGGCCAUUCGGCACGAUUAAUUCAUUAGAAUUCUUUCUCAUGAAAAUUGGAUCCUUUUGUUCAUGUCAUUGUAACAGGAAUUGAUGAUUUUAUGUACUCAUAAUCCUCUAAGUGACAAGGUUUUUGUUGUAUUUACAAGUUUGAUUUUUAAUGGAAUGAUCAAUUGGUGCGA